rnacentral:rRNA from 1 species
AACGAACGCUGGCGGCAUGCCUAACACAUGCCAGUCGAACGAGACCUUCGGGUCUAGUGGCGCACGGGUGCGUAACGCGUGGGAACCUGCCUUUAGGUUCGGAAUAACUCAGAGAAAUUUGAGCUAAUACCGGAUGAUGUCUUCGGACCAAAGAUUUAUCGCCUUUAGAUGGGCCCGCGUUGGAUUAGCUAGUUGGUGGGGUAAAGGCCUACCAAGGCGACGAUCCAUAGCUGGUCUGAGAGGAUGAUCAGCCACACUGGGACUGAGACACGGCCCAGACUCCUACGGGAGGCAGCAGUGGGGAAUAUUGGACAAUGGGCGAAAGCCUGAUCCAGCAAUGCCGCGUGAGUGAUGAAGGCCUUAGGGUUGUAAAGCUCUUUUACCCGAGAUGAUAAUGACAGUAUCGGGAGAAUAGCUCCGGCUAACUCCGUG